rnacentral:rRNA from 1 species
UUAAGUGACUAAGCGUACAUGGUGGAUGCCUUGGCAGUCAGAGGCGAUGAAGGACGUACUAACCUGCGAUAAGCUGUGAGAAGUCGGUAAGAGACGCUAUUACUCACAGAUUUCCGAAUGGGGAAACCCACCCAGCAUAAGCUGGGUAUCUAUUACUGAAUACAUAGGAAUAAGAGGCGAACCGGGAGAACUGAAACAUCUAAGUACCCCGAGGAAAAGAAAAUCAACCGAGAUUCCCUUAGUAGCGGCGAGCGAAACGGGGAUUAGCCCUUAAGCACUUGGAAGUUAGUGAAUGGUCCUGGAAAGGCCAGCGAUACAGGGUGAUAGCCCCGUACAUGAAAACGACCUUGUUGUGAAAUCGAGUAGGGCGGGACACGUGAACAUCCGUCUGAAUAUGGGGGGACCAUCCUCCAAGGCUAAAUACUCCUGACUGACCGAUAGUGAACCAGUACCGUGAGGGAAAGGCGAAAAGAACCCCUGUGAGGGGAGUGAAAUAGAACCUGAAAACCGUGUACGUACAAGCAGUGGGAGCCCUUCGGGGUGACUGCGUACCUUUUGUAUAAUGGGUCAGCGACUUACAUUUUUGUAGCGAGGUUAACCGUAUAGGGAGCCGUAGGGAAACCGAGUCUUAACUGGGCGUCUAGUUGCAAGGGUGUAAGACCCGAAACCGGUGAUCUACCAUGGCAGGUUGAAGGUUGAGUAACAUCAACUGGAGGACCGAACCCACUAACGUUGCAAAGUUAGGGGAUGACCUGUGGCUGGGGGUGAAAGGCCAAUCAAACUCGGAGAUAGCUGGUUCUCCCCGAAAGCUAUUUAGGUAGCGCCUCGGACGAAUACUACUGGGGGUAGAGCACUGUUUGGACUAGGGGGUCAUCCCGACUUACCAACUCCAUGCAAACUCCGAAUACCAGUAAGUAAUAUCCGGGAGACACACGGCGGGUGCUAACGUCCGUCGUGAAGAGGGAAACAACCCAGACCGCCGGCUAAGGUCCCAAAGUUCUGGUUAAAGUGGGAAACGAUGUGGGAAGGCUCAGACAGCUAGGAUGUUGGCUUAGAAGCAGCCAUCAUUUAAAGAAAGCGUAAUAGCUCACUAGUCGAGUCGGCCCUGCGCGGAAGAUGUAACGGGGCUCAAACCAGGCACACGAAGCCGCGGAUUCACACUAUGUGUGAGUGGUAGGGAGCGUUCUGUAAGUCUGCGAAGGUGUAUCGAGAGGAUGCUGGAGAUAGAAGUGCGAAUGCUGACGUAAGUAACGAUAAAGGGGGUGAAAAGCCUCCUCGCCGGAAGACCAAGGGUUCCUGUCCAACGUUAAUCGGGGCAGGGUGAGUCGACCCCUAAGGUGAGGCCGAAAGGCGUAAUCGAUGGGAAGCAGGUUAAUAUUCCUGCACGACUUGUAAUUGUGGGGACGGAGAAGGUAGGUGGGCCAGGCGACGGUUGUCCUGGUGAAAGUGCGUAGGCGGUAUCUCUAGGCAAAUCCGGAGAUGCAACGCUGAGACACGAGACGAAAGCCACUACGGUGGUGAAGCCAUUGAUGCCAUGCUUCCAGGAAAAGCCACCUCUAAGCUUCAGAUUACAAGUCAUCGUACCCAAACCGACACAGGUGGUCGGGUAGAGAAUACCAAGGCGCUUGAGAGAACUCGGGUGAAGGAACUAGGCAAAAUAGAACCGUAACUUCGGAGAAGGUUCGCUCUUGACAGUGAAGUCCCUUGCGGAUGGAGCAGUUGGGAGUCGCAGUGACCAGAUGGCUGGGACUGUUUAUCAAAAAACACAGCACUCUGCAAACACGAAAGUGGACGUAUAGGGUGUGACACUGCCCGGUGCCGGAAGGUUAAUUGAUGGGGUUAGCGCAAGCGAAGCUCUUGAUCGAAGCCCCGGUAAACGGCGGCCGUAACUAUAACGGUCCUAAGGUAGCGAAAUUCCUUGUCGGGUAAGUUCCGACCUGCACGAAUGGUGUAACCAUGGCCAUGCUGUCCUCCACCCGAGACUCAGUGAAAUCGAAUUCGAGCCAGUGAAAAGAAUGCGGCUAUUGUACCCGCGGCUAGACGGAAAGAACCCCUGAACCUUUAACUACAAGCACAUCUGACGCACUAUUGAGGACAUUGGACACCCCUACCAUCGCCUUUUUUUUUUAACUUGUUAAUCAAUUAAACAUUUCACUUUUUUUUUUUAAAUGUUGAAAUGUAACACAUGACAUCAUCAAAAUAACUAGACAAUCUAAUAACAGUAAUGCAUAUUUUUGUUUUUGUAUGUCUCGCUGGGCGAAGUCGCCGAGACUCAGGCUCGACUACACUCAAAAGUGGGCGACUCAUUAAUUAUAGGAGCUUCGUUAAAUUUAUGAUGAGGGAUUUACUACGUGAGCUCAAUCUCAUGCUCAAUAAGGAUAAUGACAAAAUUAAUUAGUUUCUUGCUUAGCGUGACCAGGCCCUACACACGGUUGACAAGUAGAUCGAACUAAUCAGGGCGCAGAUCGGAUAAUGCUAAGAAUUGAUCGGCAACUGCGGCUUGGCAGGCGCAUUCAGGAAGCUAGAUCACUUACGAAGGUAUUAUAGUUAUAUAAGCUUAGCUUAACAAC